rnacentral:tRNA from 2 species
GCCGAUGUAGCUCAGUUGGCCAGAGCAGCUCACUUGUAAUGAGCAAGUCGGGGGUUCGAAUCCCUCCAUCGGCU